GGGGACAUCGCGUUCCCCCGGUACGGCCCCGGGGCAAUAAAGGCGACGGCUCCGCGUGGAGCGGCGGUGUGUCAGUGUGCGGCUUUAUUGCGGCGCCGCGCGGGGGCCGCGCACGGUGAGGGCGGAGGGUUUGUUGGUGAGGGGGUGCCACUGGCCCUGCACGCUGGGGUUGGCGGUGUGGAAGGGUUUGCGGAUACGCACGAUGUCCAGGCCGGACUGGGAGGCCAGCUUGGCGGCCAGCUGCACGAUCUCCUCGCUCGUCUUGCUGGCGAUCAGCUCCUCCCGCACCGUGCCGUUCAGGUACUCGGCCUGCAGCACGGGCGCGGGGCACUCGCACGGCCGCACGUACACCACCACGUCCGGGUGCCGCCGGGCGAAGUCCACCGCCUCCUCCUCCACGAACUGCCUGGCUCCGCGGGCGUCGGGCGCGACGGGGCUGAACACCACCUGCAGCCGCUGCAGCUGCCGCACGUAGCGGCCCACGCCGUUGUGCAGCACGGCCGCCAAGAAGCGGCUGGCCGUCCCGCGG
rnacentral:lncRNA from 1 species